rnacentral:rRNA from 1 species
AUGGCUAAUGACUCCUUGACAAGGGCGCAAAUAGUUGGAGAUGUUCUGGACCCAUUUGCUAGCUCGGUGCCUCUAACUGUGAUGUAUGAUGGGAGGCCCAUGUUUAAUGGCAUGGAGUUUCGCUCACCGGCAGUCUAUCUGAAACCUAGAGUUGAGAUCGGCGGUGAUGAUUUCCGUGUGGCCUAUACCCUAGUUCUGGUGAAUCCUGAUGCGCCUAAUCCCAGCAACCCAACCAUAAGGGAGUAUCUCCAUUGGAUGGUGAGUGAUGUCCCGGCAUCAACAGAUGAUAGCUUUGGCCAUGAGGUUGUCCCAUAUGAGAGCCCAAGCCCCACCAUGGGCAUCCACCAUAUCGUGAUGGUGAUGUACCAGCAGUUGGGCCGGGGGACGGUGUUUGCGCCACAAGUGCGCCAGAACUUCAACACGCGCAACUUUGCACGCCGCUUCAACCUCGGCCAGCCUGUCGCCGCCAUGUACUUCAAUUGCCAACGGACGACGGGCACCGGUGGGAGAAGGUUCACCUGA